rnacentral:rRNA from 1 species
GACGAACGCUGGCGGCGUGCUUAACACAUGCAAGUCGAACGGAAAGGCCCUGCUUUUGUGGGGUGCUCGAGUGGCGAACGGGUGAGUAACCCGUGAGUAACCUGCCCUUGACUUUGGGAUAACUUCAGGAAACUGGGGCUAAUACCGGAUAGGAGCUCCUGCUGCAUGGUGGGGGUUGGAAAGUUUCGUGGGUUGGGGAUGGACUCGCGGCUGAUCAGCUCGGUGGUGGGGUAGUAGCUUACCAAGGCUUCGACGCAUAGCCGGGCUGAGAGGGUGACCGGUGAGACUGGGACUGCGACACGGCCCAGAGUCCUACGGGAGGGAGCAGUGGGGAAUAUAGGACGAGGGGCGAAAGCCUGAUCCAGCAGGGGCGGGUGAGUGAUGAAGGCGUUAGGGUUGUAAAGCGCUUUUAACCGGGAUGAUAAUGACAGUACCGGGAGAAUAAGCGCCGGCUAACUACGUG